rnacentral:lncRNA from 1 species
GGCCUUGAACUGCUAGGCAAGUGUUGUUCCACUGAGCUGUUUCCAGCCUAAGUCUUGUUCAUUACGAUGUGUUUGAGAGCUAAUACCAGAUGGGCGUGAGGAGCAUACCUUUUAACCUGCUAGGAAGAAACAGACAGCGCAAGACAAUGUUGCAGCGGUAGGGGGCGCUACAAGGAGUUCUGGCUGGGCCGUUCUGAAUUAACAGUGUUUGCAGUUCCGAACAGUUCAGAACCUCGUCGUUUUGAAACAUCUUCAGUCUCUCCAUAAAGGAGUCAACAAAGCAAGGACUCUCAAGCACAGGACAGUCUUUCACAGAGCUCCACCCUGGACAACUGGGUGCUCAGUGUUCAAGAACCACAAAAUCUAUUACUCUAAAUCAAGAAAAGCAAUACACGUCGAUUCAUAGUAAUACAGGUUUCUGCAGGCAGAGAAGGCGUGAUCAUGACGUCUUACAAUUAGAUUAUGAUUGACAGUUUUAUAAAUAUGCUAAGUAUACC